GUAGGAAUCGAACCUACACCUAAGAGAUCAAAACUCUCCGUAAUUCCAUAUUGGCACCCUUU
rnacentral:tRNA from 1 species